AACGUAGGAGACAAACGUUAUCCGGAGUUACUGGGCGUAAAGGGCGUGUAGGUGGUUUCGUAAGUCUGGCGUGGAAUUUUUCGGCUUAACCGGGAAAGGUCGUCGGAUACUGCGGAGCUAGAGGACGGUAGAGGCGUGUGGAAUUCCGGGUGUAGUGGUGAAAUGCGUAGAGAUCCGGAGGAACACCAGUGGCGAAGGCGACACGCUGGGCCGUACCUGACACUGAUGCGCGACAGCAUGGGGAGCAAACAGG
rnacentral:rRNA from 1 species